AGAGCGAACGCUGGCGGCGUGCUUAACACAUGCAAGUCGAACGCGCAGCAUUCUGUAGCAAUACAGGGUGUGGGCGCGUGGCGAACGGGUGCGUAACACGUGGAUAACCUUCCUUGAGGUGGGGAAUAACCCAGUGAAAAUUGGGCUAAUACCGCAUAACAUCGCGAUGGCACAUGCUGAUGCGAUCAAAGGCGCAAGUCGCCACAAGAGGGAUCCGCGGCCGAUUAGCUUGUUGGCGAGGUAAUGGCUCACCAAGGCAAUGAUCGGUAGCCGGACUGAGAGGUUGGCCGGCCACACUGGAACUGAGACACGGUCCAGACUCCUACGGGAGGCAGCAGUGGGGAAUCUUGCACAAUGGACGAAAGUCUGAUGCAGCAACGCCGCGUGGGGGAUGAAGCUUCUCGGAGUGUAAACCCCUUUCGACCCGGAAGAAUGCCCGCAAGGGUAUGACGGUACGGGUAUAAGAAGCCCGGCUAACUACGUG
rnacentral:rRNA from 1 species